GCUCUUCGAAUAUUCCAGCGAUCCCUGCAGAGAAAGAAGAAGAACAACUCGAGCAUGGCACAAACGCUAGCGAUGCCUAUAGCUCCCUCUCUCGCCCUAAUCUCAAACCCUAGACCUCUUUCCAGAGCCGUCUAUUUCCCUGUUCUCAACCCUCCCAAGGUGAGAGAGUUAAGCAUAGAGUG